CCUACGGGGGGCAGCAGUGGGGAAUAUUGGACAAUGGGGGCAACCCUGAUCCAGCCAUGCCGCGUGUGUGAAGAAGGCCCUCGGGUUGUAAAGCACUUUCAGUGAGGAAGAACGCCUGGUGGUUAAUACCCAUCAGGAAAGACAUCACUCACAGAAGAAGCACCGGCUAACUCCGUGCCAGCAGCCGCGGUAAUACGGAGGGUGCGAGCGUUAAUCGGAAUUACUGGGCGUAAAGCGCGCGUAGGUGGCUUGAUAAGCCGGUUGUGAAAGCCCCGGGCUCAACCUGGGAACGGCAUCCGGAACUGUCAAGCUAGAGUGCAGGUGAGGAAGGUAGAAUUCCCGGUGUAGCGGUGAAAUGCGUAGAGAUCGGGAGGAAUACCAGUGGCGAAGGCGGCCUUCUGGACUGACACUGACACUGAGGUGCGAAAGCGUGGGUAGCAAACAGGAUUAGAUACCCUAGUAGUC
rnacentral:rRNA from 1 species